rnacentral:lncRNA from 1 species
CCCUCGCUCCAUUUCGUUCCUUCCCUCGCCUUGCCGCCGCCAGCUAAGGGUGCUACACGCUCCACCGUUGUCGCGUUGCCGUGCGCCCAAGCUUCUGCUCGUGCUCGGGAUGACCUCCUCACCUCGCCUCCGACACUCUGGUGCCACGGGAAGGAGUAUCCAUAGCACCCUCUUCUUACUCAACAUCCCGAGGAGCUCCAAGGCGUAGUUCGAUGCAGCCCCGGUCGUCUUCUUCCUCUGCUUCGUGAACCAGGAGCAUCACCGUGCUCCGUUGUUCUCCGCGUUGCCUCCAGUCCGUCCCCAGUGUUCUCUUCUUGUCCAGUGGACCCUGGGUGAGCAGAUCUGCUCCCCGCCCCCUUCUCGUUGCAUUUCGAUGCGUGUACGAGCUGCUCUGCUACUGUCAUGCCGGCGCUCUCGAAGCUCCACGGAAAAGCACGCAUUUAUUUUUGCAUGUUGUUGUGCUGUAGCGUGCCUGCCCUGAUCACCUGUGCCCCGUCAUGCUCAAGAGAGAGCACAGGCCCUGCGAGUGCAUCGCCUCGCCUCGCCUUGCAUCGCAUCGCCUCGUCUCCGCCUAGCUUCGCCAUGGCCUAAGCCGAGCUGAAGGUCGAACUCGAGCCCUUAGUUUAGUUCCUCCUCGCCGCUUCCUAGCCCCAGGAAUGAGACCGCCGUGAAACCCACAGCCCCCAGCGUAGUUGGCAGCUCCGGAGCUGGCUGGUUGCUUGCCGGCGACCACGUCUUCCCUGCCGCUGGGAGGAAGAAGAUCUGCGCUGUGAUCUGCGCUGGCAGGUGGACCGGAGCCCCUCCACUAUAACAAGCCUCAUCCUAGCCCAAUGGUUACCACCCCCGCUCUAAUCAAGGAGGCCAUUGGUUCGAAUCCCCCGGCAUCCAUUUUGAUUAUUUCUUCUCGGCCUGUGAUAGUGUGGCUUGUACCCGUACCCACUUGUACUUGUCAGCCUCUCAGGCCCCUAGUGUCACUACGGGUAGACCCCCCACUGGAAUUAUUGUUUUGUUGUACUUUUAUUCCCUGUUUAGACAUAUUCCAUUUAGGGUAAACUCCAUUUCUGUCAUUGUCCAUUUAGGGAUACUGGUCAGCUUGCACGUGCAACGCACGUAUUAUCAUCUAAUUUUUGUUUAAAAAAAAUGUAACUUUUUUAUCAUUCGUCCUAGAAAGAAAAUAUAUCAAUAAAAUAAACAAAAGAAUAAACAAGGCAAUGAAGUUGUUUAACAAUUGCGAAAUAAUCACAACUUCGUGUACAAUAAGUUCAUAACAUGCAAAAAGUAAA